AAAAAUCUCUCUCCAAGAACUUUGAAUAUGUAGAGCAGUCAAAUUGAAAACCCUUUUUUUUAACUGUGGCUCGUAAAUCAUGCUGAAUAAUGGUGGAAAAAAAAAUUAAACAUUAAAGAAGCUCCAGGUAGAGGUAAAUAAAUUUAUUUUCUGGCACAACCAUCAAGUACAGUGAUGUCGGUUCAUCUUAAAAAAAAAAAAAAACUGGUAGUGUUUGUGUUUCUACCACUGACAGCAGAAUUCUAGGACUCUUAUAUCAGAAAACCAUUAUUUCUAGGAUUCAUCAAGGUGUAUUUCACUAAAAUCUGCAGGCUUCAAUGAGAGACUUUACUAACUGACCGAUACCAAUUCAGAAAAUUCUUUCCACCUAUUCUGGCUAAAAAUUGGUACAUACUGAAAUCUCUAAAUUAUCAUUUAUACAUUUUAAUUGAUUCUCAUAAAAAGGAACAAAGAAAUUAAGACAACUUAAAUAAAAAUAAACACAAAUGA